GAUUAAUUUCUUAGUUAAUAAUUGACACGUCAUAGCAGACAACCCGAGAACUGAAAUGUCAAGUACUUCAUUUUAGAUUCCCAGGUAAAUCUAGGUCCUGGUCAUAGUGAGCAUGUGGAGUAUAGAAACCCCAGCAACGGGCUAUCUUUAGCUUUCCAAAAUAUUUAGAUAUUUUCCAAAAUAUUUAAAUACAUUCAAACAAGAUAUUUUUGGAUAAAAUGUUACCUGUGGAGACGUGAGGGAAGUGAAGAGAGAGUUCUGAAUGCUCUGGAUGUCUGGGUAGUUGAAUUGGUUAGUGUUUCAUUUCUGUGGCCAGAAUACCUGAGGGAACACUACAGAAAGCUCCAUGUUGGCUCCUGAUUCAGAAGGCUCAGCGCAUGGGUGGUUAGCUCCACACACUUGCGGAAUGAUAAUGGGAGCUUACGGAGGAGGUGGUAGCUCACUUCGUAGGACUGGAAGCAGAGGGGGAAACAGGGACUGGGGACCAGGUACAACCUUGAAGAGUGUACGGUCCUUGAUCUACUUCCUCCAAGGAGAUCUCUCCUCCGACUCUCCACAAACCCCCGGAUUCAGUACGGCCAGCUGGAGACCAAUAUUCAAAGAAUAAGCCUUUCAUAUUUAAGCCAUAAGAGUUCUCCAAGUGAAUCUUGAUUCAGGAUUUAAGCCUCUUGGAAAAGUUACCCCCACAGAUAACUGGGGAGCUUCAAUUUCUAGCAGGAGCUUUAGAGAUUGCUUUGUUGUUUCUGCAUGAAGAGAAAUCCAGCAAGCCCUGUACUCUAGAACACUGGCGAUUCUUGUGUCCUGUCUGACCGCAAAAUUAAACAAGGAACCAUAAAUUAACAGGAUAGUCCAGAAAUACGUUCAAGGAAUCCUGCCAAGUCAAACUCUUGAGACCAAUGACUUCCAUGUGGUCUCUGAUAUUCAUUUCAAACGCUGAGGACCACACAUCCCAAGACUGGUUAUGCUAAGUAGAACCAAGUGAUGGAGAAGGGGAACAGAGUACAACCUGCCUAGCCGCAGCGUUCUGCUAUCUAUCACUGCAGAAGAAUAAAGCAAGUGAAAGCAGGGCUCUCUCAUUUUGUGGGCCAGAGACUUUUGAGAAUUUCGGAUGAUUUUUCUGCUGUGUGGGAUCCACCGAAAUUGGACAAUGCCGUCCUGCAGGCAGGUGGCUUGUUCCAGGGGGUCUAACAUUCAUGUGACUCAAGAUAGCCAGGCUUCUUACCUGCUGGCGUAGGGCUCUCAGAAAAUGUACCCCCAAGAGACCAGCGUGGCUACAACAAGGUUUCUUACAUUCUCUCCUCUCAGACAUUCCCAGUGACACCUACAGAGCAUUGUGAAAACUCUGAAAUCCUGCCCCGCCCCCGGCUCCUCCCCCCACUCUGGCCCCGCCCCAGACACGCCCUCAGUGUUGUACUUCCUCCUGCAAGACCACAGGUAACUGAAACCAGAGAGCGCCAACAAGAGCUGCCACUUCUUAAUGGGAAAAAUAGCAGGAGUCAUGGGCAUCUUUAACCUACAGUGAUGGAGGGUGGACCACCUCCUGUGCGAACACACCUUCACCUCCUUAACUAGUGCCUUAAGGAAACUGCUGAGAUGCGAUUACAUUUGAACCCAUCCCCCGCCCCCACCAAGCCCUCACAGACACGGAAAAAAUGCCCAUGGCCUCUCAUGAACAGCUUUCUCUUUGUCAAGCAUUUAUUCAUAUACCUCUCUCUAAGUUUCUUUUCUUCUUUUCUUAAAUUGUUUUUCAAAAUUGC
rnacentral:lncRNA from 1 species